GUUACGUGCGUAGACAAUGAGCGAAGUAACUAUAGGAAAAGCGUGGCGGAGGAGGUGUGCGAUGAGGACGGAAUCAGCAUCGUCGCUGGAGGCGGUGGCGCGUGGAGAUAGGAGGGGAUGUCCCCAAGGAGAAACGAGUGAGAGGUCGAGAUGGGUAACAGAUCGGAAGCAAGUGGGUAACAUGAAAAGGUCACGGAUGUUACCACGGAGAGUGAGGGAAGUUCUCGUGGCUCGUUCAAGGACGAGCCAUUUCCGGCAGACAAGUGCGGCGGUGUUCCGGCUGCGAACGUCGGAGACGGCGGCGAUAAUGUUAGAAAGGAUCACAUCAGGAAGGUCAUUGAUGAUGGUGGGUCUAGCUAAAGUAGCCAUUGAAGAAGAAGAAGA
rnacentral:misc_RNA from 1 species